rnacentral:rRNA from 1 species
UACGGAGGAUGCAAGCGUUAUCCGGAAUGAUUGGGCGUAAAGCGUCCGCAGGUGGCUGUGUAAGUCUGCUGUCAAAGAGCGAAGCUCAACUUCGUAAAGGCAGUGGAAACUACACGGCUAGAGUGCGUUCGGGGCAGAGGGAAUUCCUGGUGUAGCGGUGAAAUGCGUAGAGAUCAGGAAGAACACCGGUGGCGAAAGCGCUCUGCUAGGCCGCAACUGACACUCAUGGACGAAAGCUAGGGGAGAGAAUGGG